GCCGGGGUGGCGGAACUGGCAGACGCAUCGGACUUAAAAUCCGAAGUCCCCACAAGGGACGUGCGGGUUCGAUUCCCGCCCCCGGCA
rnacentral:tRNA from 1 species